GACGAAGGGGGCUAGCGUUGUUCGGAAUUACUGGGCGUAAAGCGAGUGUAGGUGGUUGUCCAAGUUGGAUGUGAAAGCCUUGAGCUCAACUCAAGAAAUGCAUUCAGGACUAGAUGGCUAGAGGACCGGAGAGGAUAGUGGAAUUCCCAGUGUAGUGGUGAAAUACGUAGAGAUUGGGAAGAACACCAGUGGCGAAGGCGGCUAUCUGGACGGUUUCUGACACUAAGACUCGAAAGCGUGGGGAGCAAACAGG
rnacentral:rRNA from 1 species